AAAUAUAAAAGUUGUCAAUUAUUAUUAUGAUUAUUUUAAACGGGUCAAUUUUAAAUAAAGUUUUAAUUUGGAUCAAAAUUGAAAUUUUAGGGUCAAAACUUUAAAAAUCCAAUUUGAAACCCUUAAAUUUCAAUUCAAAACAAUUUUUGAAAUUUGCAAUCUGACCCCUAGGUUUAAAAUUAUUAGCAGGCCUUUUAGUUAUAUAAAUUAAAUGACAUGCCCCCUUUAAAAUUUGCAAAACAGGCCCUUUUUCGUUUAAUUGCAUGUGGGGUAUCACAAGUAUGUUAUUUACAUUGAAAGCCCCCUUCUCCAUAUAUGUAGCUCGUUUUGCAGAAGACCAGAUUUCUUUUUCUACGGCGCCGACCACAUCGGGCGUUGCAACGAACGGCCGAACUAAAACCUUAAAACCACCAUUUAUUUCUCCUCCAACAACAUCAAUUCUCAUCCCAAUUGAUUCAUAAAAAAAAAUGAAAAAUCGACAAAAAUAAAUAAAAAGAGGAAAAGCCAACAGUCAACUUUGAUAGUAAUGUCAAAACCAAAAUCAAUUGGCAAGUGAAAAACACCACUACCGCUGGCAGCAGAGCAGCCUAGAUCUGUUCCUCAAAUAAUUUGUUUUUGUUCAGCCGUUGAGAAGAGCAGCCUAGAUCUGCUCCUCAAAUAAUUUGUUUUUGUUCAGCCGUUGAGAAGUAGAGAAGAGAGAGAGAGAGAGAGAGAGAAAACUUGAUUUAUGGCCUUGGUUUGAUUUCUUUUCAUAUAUUAAUAUAUAUAAUGCAUUUAAGCACAGAAUUCAUAACACACAUUGAUGCACAGAACUCGUGGAAAGUUGACCCUUUUCCCAAAUUUUUUUUUUUUUUGAUAUAGUGUUUAACAAAGUUUAAAAUAAUCGAGAUAGAAUAUUAUUUUUAUGAAGGAUUCCGAUCUUAACAUGAAGGCUCUGAUACCAAUUGUUAAUAUUUAUUUGUAAUCAUGCCAAAAAUCAAGAAUCACCACAUAAUAAAUUAAUAAAACGAAUUCAUACCUGCGGAAGCCAUUGUUGAUAUGAAUAAUUGUUGUAAUAGCAGCCAAGAUCUUCCCAUCCUUGCUCCUCACAAAAGUAUUAGCUAUCAAUGG
rnacentral:lncRNA from 1 species